GCUUAGGAGCUGAAGUCAUCUACGUUGUUCAGUAUUUUGAGCCCAAACGAGAGCUUCUAGGUUGUGGUACAGGAUUAUAUUAAGACAAACAAAUCAGGAAAAAUCUCUAGAAUGUUGGACGGAUUAAGACUGACAUUCAUUUGUAUAAUUCUGGAGAUCAUUUUGAUCAUUCUUGGGAUGGCAAAGACAGAGUUCAUACAUCUCGGGUGCUUUGAAGACAGUAUGGGACAGAGAGGUCUCCCAAUAUUUUUGGGAUACGUGGCAAGUAUCCAGGAAUGCGCAGAUAAAGUAGCCAAGGAAAAUUUUGUAGUCUUUGGGUUACAACUUAGAACAGAGUGCUGGAGUGGUCCUAACGGGAAAGAGACAUACGAUAGGAAUGGCCCAUCGGAUCGCUGUAUUAAUGGUACUGGAAACGACUUGGCGUUUAACGCCUAUAAACACUUGCCAGUGAAUGGCAGCUGGUCCAUUUGGACGCCUUGGGAAGCCUGCUCGGUCACGUGUGGUGGAGGUAGCCAAUCACGUAACAGAACCUGUUCCAAUCCUCCUCCGUCCUUCGGUGGACUUGAUUGCACCGGAGUCAACAAAGAGACACGAAAAUGUGGGACAAAGUAUUGUCCAGCCUGUCGCUCCAUUAUUUUUGAACCAAUCGCUGAUCCAAAUAAGGUUCUAACAAAUCACGUGAUUGAAGCGUACAUGACUGAAAGUGACCAGAUGUGUCGCAUCCAGUGUUACCUUAACAAUGACUGUGUGUCUUACAACCUUGGUCCUUCACYAACGCCUGGAAUGAUUGUCUGUCAACUGAACGACGCUGAUCGUUACCAACACCCACAAGAUUACCAGGAAAGACCAGGAUACUUUUACCAAGGAAUAGAGAAUGGUUGCAGAAGUAAUCCAUGUGUAGCUAACACCACGUGUCAGGCUGGAUUUGGCGAGGAACAGUACCGAUGUGUCUGAUGCACAGGCUCGUCAAACACUAGUGCUGGUUGUGCAACUAUUCUCAAGGAUACACGCACCUUGGAUGCUUCAAAGACACAAAGGAUAGAGCGAUUCCACUUCUGUUCAAAAUGUCUCGCCAACUAACCACUCAACAAGUAGUAACAAACUGCGCGAGUAAAGCAAAGCAAAAGGGUUAUGUGGUAUUCUCUAUACAGUACGAAAUAGAGUGCUACAGUGGUCCUAAUGCUGAGCAGACAUACUAUCAAUAUGGUGAAGCGAAUAACUGUGAACAUGGUGUUGGUGGAGCAUGGGCUUCAGACGUAUAUACYUUCAAAGUCCAUCGUCACAUGACAUUCCUUCCUCCCUUCAAAAACAAAUUAAAAUGCUCGUAAACCACGUGAUUGAAGAGCAUCUACUAGAGAAAGAUUUGUGCAGCGAGAUGUGUUACCUUAACAAUGACUGCGUGUCGUACAACCUUGGUCCUUCACCAGCACCUGGAAUGAUGGUCUGUCAACUGAACGACGCUGAUCGUUACCAACACCCACAAGAUUACCAGGAAAGACCAGGAUACUCCUAUGUAGAAAACAAGGAAAACUAUUACACCUAGAUUAAAGGGGGGUUUAUAUAGCCCGUCUAUAACGAAGUCGUAGAAUUACAGUGUGUCAAUCAGCUGAUAAAUGUCUGAUUCUCAUUAUCUGCUUCAAAUGGUUGACCACAUUGAACAUUGAACAGCAUCUGCUGUCAGCCAGAAAGAGUUCUCAUUGAAAGCUUGUGAUUCAACUGAUGAACAUUCCGUACGAGACAAGAAAUGACAUCAGAGUCAACGCGUAAAGGCGCGAUGAUUACACGGAACCAUUUUCUCUGCAACUUGUAUUGUAAAUGUAUUGGGACACAAGUAGCAAGAGGGUUUACAAGGUGUAACGGCCGGAGACGCAAUCGUUGACCAAAGUAGAAA